rnacentral:lncRNA from 1 species
AGCUACAUUCUCCUACUUCAAGUCACUGUCUGUUCAUCCACGGUGUAGCCAGUGCAGCUCAGCAGAGUCCUACUAAUGGUGAUCCUUCAAGUCCUGCAGCCCUAUGAAGCAAGCUGCAGCAGAUGUCAACACAUUCAGAUCAUCAGUUUAUCUUUACUGCAGCUUUAAACUUUCCCAGAGGUAACGGUGUAUUUCCUUGCCCCAUAACAAAAACCAUGUUUGACCAACAUAGAAAAGCACAGAAUUACUGUUAGCACAGGAUUACAGAGUUAAAGUGAAGGGGAUUUUGUUUGUUUUUUUCAGACCUCUCCUCCUCCUGCCUCUGACUCCAGUGAUGCUGUCAACUCGAACACUGAUAACUGCACACAGCGAUCCUACAACCACAGGUCAAAGGUCAAAACAUUACCUCACUCUAAACCUUCACUCUGAACUGUACUGGGCUCUGCUUUUGGUUUUGAAAAAAAGUGCCCAGACAGAACAUAGUACUCACUUGAG